AUUGAACGCUGGCGGCAUGCUUUACACAUGCAAGUCGAACGGCAGCGCGGGCUUCGGCCUGGCGGCGAGUGGCGAACGGGUGAGUAAUGCAUCGGAACGUGCCCAGUAGUGGGGGAUAGCCCGGCGAAAGCCGGAUUAAUACCGCAUACGACCUGAGGGUGAAAGCGGGGGACCGAAAGGCCUCGCGCUAUUGGAGCGGCCGAUGUCGGAUUAGCUAGUUGGUGGGGUAAAGGCUUACCAAGGCGACGAUCCGUAGCUGGUCUGAGAGGACGACCAGCCACACUGGGACUGAGACACGGCCCAGACUCCUACGGGAGGCAGCAGUGGGGAAUUUUGGACAAUGGGGGCAACCCUGAUCCAGCCAUGCCGCGUGCGGGAAGAAGGCCUUCGGGUUGUAAACCGCUUUUGUUCGGGAAGAAAUCCUCUGGGCUAAUACCCCGGGGGGAUGACGGUACCGGAAGAAUAAGCACCGGCUAACUACAUG
rnacentral:rRNA from 1 species